GAAACAGUACCUGCAUUUAAGUUCCAGCCUUUUUCACAAAGUUGCCAACAACUGGAAGAAUGUCCCAAAUUGCUGCAAAAAGAAAUUCAAUUGAGUAAUUUUCACUCUAGAGACCCUGGGGUGACCACCAAGGACGAAUGCAAACUCCAGUGAGUGUCUCUAAGGUAGAUCCUAAUGCAGAUGGAUGGAAUGUUGAUCCGCCUAACAUGCAAGAGCAAUCGUUUUGAGUCCUGAGACCCUGGGGUGACCACCGUGAACAAAUACAGAAGCACUCAAUUUGAGUCCUGAGACCCUGGGGUGACCACCGUGAACAAAUACAGACUGCAAAAAGGCAGUCUUGACGGUACUAGGAUGAAUGCAAAUAAAGACUAACCACCUGACUUCAGCGGUCCAGUCUCUUGUGGGAAGCAGGUGCUUGUUACCCCAAAUACGGAUGAAGUGUGACAAAGAGGUUGAUGACUUUUUUCUCAAACAUCUGCUGAAGAUCUUAACAGGCUGGAGACAAAAUUAACAGACUGAGGGUUUAUACAAAGAAUCUUACUCAGCCAAUAUUAAAGAUAAGAUAUUUUUACAAAAUGUUCUUUUCAUUGUUUAGGAUGAUUUUAUGUAGAAAACAGUACAUCACAAAAAAGACUUUAGAUGUGUUUUCACAGGCAGAGCCUUACACACACACUAACCACAAUUAUAAACGCAACCCUAACACAGAUUUAUACAGAUUUGUGAAUAACAUUUGAGAGAAAUAGGCCUUUUGGGGACAUAGAAAAUAUUUAAGUUCAGCUCAAGAAAUGAAAA